GCCCUCUUAGCUCAGUGGUAGAGCGCAUCACUAGUAUAUGUUAGUGAUGAUGAGGUCACUGGUUCGAUUCCAGUAGUGGGCA